GUUGCGCCGGCUUGGCUUCCACGGGCGCUCCGGGCUCGGGCCUUGGGCGCGACAGCUCCGCGAGAAUAUCGCUCGCGGGGCGCGGCUGCGGCGCUGUCC
rnacentral:tRNA from 1 species